rnacentral:rRNA from 1 species
UGGUCGGCAGUCAGACUGCGAGUGCUAAGAUCCGUAGUCGAAAGGGAAACAGCCCAGACCACCAGCUAAGGUCCCAAAAUAAUUGUUAAGUGGAAAAGGAUGUGGGGUUGCACAGACAACUAGGAUGUUAGCUUAGAAGCAGCUAUUCAUUCAAAGAGUGCGUAAUAGCUCACUAGUCGAGUGACCCUGCGCCGAAAAUGUACCGGGGCUAAAACAAUUUACCGAAGCUGUGGAUAACACAUUAGUGUUAUGGUAGGAGAGCGUUCUAUGUGUGAAGAAGGUAUACCGUGAGGAGUGCUGGAACGCAUAGAAGUGAGAAUGCCGGUAUGAGUAGCGAAAGAUGGGUGAGAAUCCCAUCCACCGUAAGACUAAGGUUUCCAGGGGAAGGCUCGUCCGCCCUGGGUUAGUCGGGACCUAAGGAGAGACCGAAGGGUGUAUCCGAUGGACAACAGGUUGAUAUUCCUGUACUAGAGUAUGAAGUGAUGGAGGGACGCAGUAGGCUAACUAAAGCGGGCGAUUGGAAGAGCCCGUCUAAGCAGUGAGGUGUGAUAUGAGUCAAAUGCUUGUAUCUGUAACAUUGAGCUGUGAUGGGGAGCGAAGAUAAGUAGCGAAGUUAGUGACGUCACACUGCCGAGAAAAGCUUCUAGCGAUGUAUCAUACUCUACCCGUACCGCAAACCGACACAGGUAGUCGAGGCGAGUAGCCUCAGGUGAGCGAGAGAACUCUCGUUAAGGAACUCGGCAAAAUGACCCCGUAACUUCGGGAGAAGGGGUGCUGACUUAAAGUCAGCCGCAGUGAAUAGGCCCAAGCAACUGUUUAUCAAAAACACAGCUCUCUGCUAAAUCGUAAGAUGAUGUA